CAAUACAGCCUUUGUCAGAUCCUUGCGUUACACUCAUUGACAGCAUGUCACAUGAUCCCUUUCCUAGUAAAGAGCUUGGGAUAAAAAUAACCAUCGAACUAAUACCACGAAACGGCUUGGCGGGGGCUCUAUGAAUGCAAAAGGGGUGGUUGUCCUAUCUUUUUUUAGGUUUUAAAAUUCUACCGACAGAUCACAUCAUCUGUUUUUAUUGGACUGCUCCCCACCUCAAAGGGAUUGCAAGUGUAGUGGCCAACAAGUGUUAUACAUACUUCUCGUUUGAGAUUAUUUUUAACAUUUUUUGGCCACAAAUAAAAACAAUGGAAAGGCUGACAUGUUCCCAUUAUUCUAUUUUUUAAUAAAGGAGAAGGUUAGUAUGUAUAUGAUUGUGAUUAAACAUAAAAAACACAUUGAUGGUUAAGCUAUUUUAAAGAUUAACAAAAUGUUUAUAUCUUGAAAUGAAGCAUUAGGCCUAGUUCAAAUGUCGCAUUAUCCAUGAGCCGUAUUCAAUCCAAAUGCUUGCAAAUGAACCAAGGCAAUUCUUUCAUCUCCAUUUGCAUGCAUUUGCAUGGAAUACAGCUCAUGCAUAAUAUGUUUUAACUUAGCCUUAAAUAUUCAAUAUAUUCUCAAUAUAUUUACAAAACUUAACAGACACUCAAGAAAUAAGAUAUUAUACACUUAUUUCGAGAAUACAGCACCCUCACCUAAAUGCACACAAAA